CGCACGGGAAUUCCGGGGUAACUUGGAUAGUACAGUGGCGGAAGGGCGAGGAACACAUGGGUAACGUACCUUUAGCACAGGGAUAGCCGCGGGAAACUGCGGGUAAUACCUGAUGAGACCACAGCACUGCAGGGUGCAGCGGUCAAAGGGCGGGUCCUCUUCGGAGGCCUGUCGGCUUUAGAGCGGCCCGUGUCCUAUCAGCUAGUUGGCGAGGUAACGGCUCACCAAGGCAACGACGGGUACCGGGACUGAGAGGUUGGCCCGGCGCAUUGGGACUGAGACACUGCCCAGACUCCUACGGGAGGCUGCAGUAACGAAUAUUCCGCAAUGGGCGAAAGCCUGACGGAGCGACGCCGCGUGUAGGAAUAAGCUCUUCGGAGUGUAAACUACUGUCAGGGGUUACCAAGCAAAGAGGGCUAAUACCCUUCUGAGUUGAGGAGCCCCAGAGGAAGCCACGGCUAACUUCGUGCCAGCAGCCGCGGUAAGACGAAGGUGGCAAGCGUUGUUCGGAAUCACUGGGCUUAAAGAGCACGUAGGCGGCUCAUCAAGUGUCUUGUGAAAUCCCCCGGCUCAACCGGGGAAUCGCUGGAUAGACUGACGAGCUUGAGGCAGGUAGGGGCGAGUGGAACUCUUGGUGGAGCGGUGGAAUGCGUAAAUAUCAAGAGGAACGCCGGAGGUGAAGACGACUCGCUGGGNCCUGUCCUGACGCUGAGGUGCGAAAGCCAGGGGAGCAAACGGGAUUAGAUACUCCGGUAGUCCUGGCCCUAAACGAUGUCCACUAGGUCGGNAGCACUCUGACGUGUUU
rnacentral:rRNA from 1 species